UACGGGGGGAGCAAGCGUUGUUCGGAUUUACUGGGCGUAAAGGGCGCGUAGGCGGCAAUUCAAGUCAGUUGUGAAAUCUCCGAGCUUAACUCGGAACGGUCAACUGAUACUGUUUUGCUAGAGUACAGAAGGGGCAAUCGGAAUUCUUGGUGUAGCGGUGAAAUGCGUAGAUAUCGGGGAGGAACACCGGUGGCGAAGGCGGUUCUCUGGGCCUGUACUGACGCUGAGGAGCGAAAGCGUGGGGAGCGAACAGG
rnacentral:rRNA from 1 species